rnacentral:rRNA from 1 species
GACGAACGCUGGCGGCGUGCCUAACACAUGCAAGUCGAACGGAGUUGACCCUUCGGGGUUAACUUAGUGGCGAACGGGUGAGUAACGCGUGAGAAACCUGCCUUUCAGUGGGGGACAACAGUUGGAAACGACUGCUAAUACCGCAUAAUGUCAUUUGGGGGCAUCCCCGGAUGACCAAAGAUUUAUUGCUGAAAGAUGGUCUCGCGUCUGAUUAGCUAGAUGGCGGGGUAACGGCCCACCAUGGCGACGAUCAGUAGCCGGUCUGAGAGGAUGAACGGCCACAUUGGGACUGAGAUACGGCCCAGACUCCUACGGGAGGCAGCAGUGGGGAAUAUUGGGCAAUGGGGGAAACCCUGACCCAGCAACGCCGCGUGAAGGAAGAAGGCCUUCGGGUUGUAAACUUCUUUUACCAGGGACGAACACAAUGACGGUACCUGGAGAAAAAGCCACGGCUAACUACGUGCCAGCCGCCGCGGUAAGAC